rnacentral:rRNA from 1 species
CAGUAGCCGCGGUAAUACAGAGGGUGCGAGCGUUAAUCGGAUUUACUGGGCGUAAAGCGUGCGUAGGCGGCUUUUUAAGUCGGAUGUGAAAUCCCUGAGCUUAACUUAGGAAUUGCAUUCGAUACUGGGAAGCUAGAGUAUGGGAGAGGAUGGUAGAAUUCCAGGUGUAGCGGUGAAAUGCGUAGAGAUCUGGAGGAAUACCGAUGGCGAAGGCAGCCAUCUGGCCUAAUACUGACGCUGAGGUACGAAAGCGUGGGGAGCAAACAGGAUUAGAUACCCCUGUAGUCCCUGUCUCUUAUAC